UACCGGAUUGCUCAGUUGGUAGAGCACCUGACUAGAGAUUCACCUGGCCCAGGUUUGAAUCCUGGUCUGGUUU
rnacentral:tRNA from 1 species